rnacentral:rRNA from 1 species
GGAAAAGAAACUAACAAGGAUUCCCCUAGUAACUGCGAGUGAAGCGGGAAAAGCUCAAAUUUAAAAUCUGGUGGUCUUUGGCCAUCCGAGUUGUAAUUUAGAGAAGCAUCUUCCGCGCUGGACCGUGCACAAGUCUCCUGGAAUGGAGCGUCAUAGAGGGUGAGAAUCCCGUCUUUGGCAUGGACACACCAGGGCUUUUGUGAUGUGCUCUCGAAGAGUCGAGUUGUUUGGGAAUGCAGCUCAAAAUGGGUGGUGAACUCCAUCUAAAGCUAAAUAUUGGCGAGAGACCGAUAGCGAACAAGUACCGUGAGGGAAAGAUGAAAAGCACUUUGGAAAGAGAGUGAAACAGUACGUGAAAUUGUUGAAAGGGAAACGCUUGAAGUCAGUCGCGUUGACCGAGACUCAACCUUGCCUUGGCUUGGUGUACUUCUCGGCUGACGGGUCAGCAUCAAUUUUGCCCCUUGGAUAAUGGCGAGGGAAAUGUGACACCUUCUUGGGUGUGUUAUAGUCUCUUGUCGCAUGCAAGGGUCGGGAUUGAGGAACUCAGCACGCACCUUUGGGUGUCGGGGCUUUGCCCACGAUACGUGCUUAGGAUGUUGGCGUAAUGGCUUUAAACGACCCGUCUUGAAACACGGACCAAGGAGUCUAACAUGCCCGCGAGUGUUUGGGUGGAAAACCCAUUCGCGCAAUGAAAGUGAAAGUUGGGACCUCUGUCGUGGAGGGCACCGACACCCGGACCAGACCUUCUGUGACGGAUCUGCGGUAGAGCGUGUAUGUUAGGACCCGAAAGAUGGUGAACUAUGCCUGAAUAGGGUGAAGCCAGAGGAAACUCUGGUGGAGGCUCGUAGCGAUUCUGACGUGCAAAUCGAUCGUCAAAUUUGGGUAUAGGGGCGAAAGACUAAUCGAACCAUCUAGUAGCUGGUUC